CCUACGGGAGGCAGCAGUGGGGAAUAUUGGACAAUGGGGGGAACCCUGAUCCAGCGACGCCGCGUGAGUGAAGAAGUAUUUCGGUAUGUAAAGCUCUAUCAGCAGGGAAGAAAGAAAUGACGGUACCUGACUAAGAAGCCCCGGCUAACUACGUGCCAGCAGCCGCGGUAAUACGGAGGGGGCAAGCGUUAUCCGGCUUUACGCGGUGUAAAGGGAGCGUAGACGGCGAUGCAAGUCUGAAGUGAAAGGCGGGGGCCCAACCCCCGGACUGCUUUGGAAACUGUAUGGCUGGAGUGCAGGAGAGGUAAGUGGAAUUCCUAGUGUAGCGGUGAAAUGCGUAGAUAUUAGGAGGAACACCAGUGGCGAAGGCGGCUUACUGGACUGUAACUGACGUUGAGGCUCGAAAGCGUGGGGAGCAAACAGGAUUAGAUACCCCAGUAGUC
rnacentral:rRNA from 1 species